AGCAAAGGGGACCGCGGCGACGGAAGGGCGUUCGCCUUCUUUUUGGUGUGUGGUGCACACAGCGGUGUUCUUGUAACAUGCGGUGGUUUCAACCUUAAAGUGCUUCUGUUCACACUGCAUGGCUAUGUAGGAGUCAAAGCCACGGAAAAUUCAUCUCUUUGGUGGUGUCUGUGGCUCACACAAGCACAGUGAGUACUUUGUCCCGAAGGUCUCCAAGGGAGAGAGGGGUGAUUGGCCGGGGGGUGUUAGGAGAAAGCAAUAUAUGGCUGGAGGGCACAGUGCUGUAGUGUAUGAGGGCGAAAAAUGUAUGCAUCGGGUUUUGCAUAGGCACGUUAUUUGCAUAUGGAUGCGUGAAGUUUACCUGUCCCAUCCCCCGGAAGGAAAAGCUGUGAUGACACUAAAUUGAGGUUCGCUAACAUCUUUUAAGUUACUCCGCGAAAAAAAAAGAGUUCCCUUUGACAGCAAUGUGUGAACAUGGUAGAAUUUCUUUGGAAACGCAUGCACGUUUCCAGUGCCAAGUGUCAAACUUGUUUUUCAGUAUACAAGGAUAUGAACUGUUCCUAAGAAACAUUCGAUCCAAACAUCAGGUUUGAAGCAAAUGGGUUCGGAGGGUCUGUUUUGAUCCUGGUGUAAAUUUCUGGAAGAAGGAGUGCUUGUACUGGUUGAAGGAAAUGGGUUGCCUAACCUGUUGUCUUGGUUCUGGUGGAAAAGGCAUUAAAAAUUUGCAGCUGAUGCAGAAUGAUCUGUCUCGGGGGGGGGAAAAAAAAUCCCAGCUCAUAUAUAUGGGGAGAUCUCAAGUGAAAAAAUGCUGUUGUAGUUGUGGAUGUUCUUACUGGCCUUUAAAACAUCUGUAAAUUGCUGCUAAAGGCAUUGUUGCAUAUGCGCCCACACCAACUGCAAACGUUGUGGGUACAAAGUAGCUACAUGUUUGCUGCUCCCCUUCUCUGGCUGCCUUCUGAGUAUUGUAGAUAUUCCACCUUCAUUGUAGUAAGUCUUGAGUAGAGGUUUUCUCCAUGCCAUCCAUAAAAACUUCCCAUGUUUUUAACCCUUAUUCCUUUCCAUUUUUCAUGCUUACUUCAUGGAUAAGCAGUCAGAAUCUUUCAAUUGCAUUUAAGAGAAGUCUUUAAAAACUGGGGGGGUGUGCCUUCCCCCCCCCUUUUUUUUUUUCUUUUGCUUGCUUUCUUGAAUGCUGUCCCUUCCAGCUAUAUUAUUUAAGAGCCUAUGAAGUAACCAUAUCCUCUGUGCUAGGUAAGAGCAUGCAAUUGAUGCAAAACAUAAUCACAUUUUGUUUUUCCCACACAAUUUUGUAUGCACGAUUCACAUGCGGUUUGUUCUUAUGAUCAGAUUGUGGCUACACAGUGGCAGUUCGAGGUUUGACAGUGACUUCUGGCUGAGGUUUUGCUUGCCCUUUUUUCCCUGACCGGAUGCCAUUCAUUUAGAUCUUGGUUACAUACAAAGCUAGUCUGAAUUCUCUGUGCUUCAGUGUUGCUACUUGGCAUUUGAUCAGUCUAAAGUGUAAUCUUUAUCUUACAUCCUCUUGUACAGCAAAGUACUCCGGGAAAUCCUCACUGUUCUGUCACCCUUUCAUCUUACUUAACUAUCUUCACCUUUACAACUCCUUCGCAUGGCCUCAUUAAAAGUCCAAAUACAAACAGCUGUCCUAAUAAUAAGAGGUUGUGCUAACCACUUUUUAUUACUGUGGAAACUAAGUACAGUUCUUUAAGAAGUCACUCUUUAUGAGUAGCUACUUGUCUAUGCAAACUGCCCUUCUCUAAGGUUUGGUUUUGUUUUCCCACAAAAUGCAGUAGCUCAUGGACUAGUGUUUUAGCUAUGUCAUUAUCUUCUAAAUAAACCACUUACAAUUGUAAGUAAGAAAUAUAUGCCUAGAAGAAAUAAAUAUAUUAAUUGUAUUUCAAAUAUUUUAAGUAUAUUUACUAGUUAAUAGAGUAAUCUUAAAAAGCGCAGAAUCCAACUCUUUCUAAACAGUACUGGACAUGUGCCAUGCACCUCUGAAAGAUGUUGUAAUUCUGACUCAACACUGAUACCAAUAAUUUUUUUUAAUAUAUAUAAAGGUAGUUCUUGGGAGUAUUUUUGUUUUCCUUUUUCCUAGAUAUAAUUUUAAAAUUUAAACAAUGAAGUCUUCAGAAAUAAGUUACAAAAAUGCAGAAUAUUACUUCUAGAAACUGUCAGUCCUGUACAAUGAGAAACUGACACAGAUUUUGCAAUUCUAGAGAAGGGAGAUUAGAUUUGUGAAGUUGAUGACGUUUCUCCUUGGUUUGCGCUGUCUCCUUGUGCCGAGUGAGUCAAAAACUGUCCUGUAGCUCCGAUGUAUAACCUGGAACGCAUUGGCCACUUCUGCAAGAGAAGAGACAAGCACAGUGCUGAGACACCUGGGACCUUUGCAGUCUGAAUGCAGUUCUCAGCAAAGCUUUAAAUGUUGACAGACUCACAAUACAAGAAAACAGGAAGCCGUUGCCAUCACCAGGAAAUGCCUGUUUUGUCAUUUGUUGGAAGAUGUUGCUAGCUCAGCCUGGGUAUUUUCUUUGGUACCUAAUUGUGAGGCACAGCUCCCAAACACCCCAUGACCCAACAGGCAGGAGCAGGCCAUGCCGAUCAGUCAUCGUAGCACAGUUUGUACCAUAGGCGCUCUGUUAGAAUAAACCAAAGCAUUCCCCUUUACGGUGCCAGGGAUACAGCAGGGAUACACCGGCACCUGCAGAGAUUGCAGCCCUGUGUGCCUGCCCAUUUGUGCUGGCUGGCCACCACCACACCAACCGCAGCACAGGGGCUGCUAAGAGCUGUGCGAUAAAGAGAGAAUUUAAUAUAAUCACUCCUCAACAGUCUUCAGCACUGACAACUUCUUGUUCUUUGUCAGCUCCAAAGAUUUCAGAUUAGACUAUUCAUCUUUCCGUUCAUUGAUUAUUGAAAUCAUCAGUUAGACUGGCAUUAAAUAUCUAUUCUUAUUGCUCAUGUUUCUUAACCUGAGCAAGUUAGUUACUGCAAACGGCCCUGCAGUGUGACUCAGCUGGGUGCCCUUCUCCUAGGAGGAAGCACUCAGCUCCAGUUUGGUGUGCUGAUUUCAUUAUUGGAGGUGCGUGUUUGAAAAGACAGCUUGCCGUAGCCCUCCGAUGCAAAAAGACCGGUAACACAGCCAGCAUGUUGUUCCAAAAAAAUACCAUUUUUUUUAAGACACUUUUGGGAACAAGCUGGCACCUCUCCUGUGGGGAACAAAAAAAACCCACGCGCUCUAAAAACUAGAGGGGCUUAAUACUGCAGUUAAAUCUCAGCACUUUUACUUAAAGACACAAAGCAGCUGCAUAUUCUCAUUUGGAAGGACCAUACGAUCUCAUUAUUUUUAUUUCAAGUGGAAUGUUACCAGUUUGUCACCAAUAAGAUAUCUGAAUCCAAAGUCAUUAACCAUAUUUUUGUUUGGUGUACACACAACUGUACUUGGAUACUUUACUUUCCUCACUGUUUGUAUUUACUCUGCUUGAUAUAUGAAUGUAGUUAAAGUCCUUAUCUGUACUGGUUGUCUCAUAUCCUGCACUUUGGGGUUUUUGAGGCAUGUACUAUGAUUAGUCUGUGACACUUCCAUUCUAGUGCCAGCUAAGUUUAAUUUACUACCAGGAAUAUUAGAAAGAUUGGUUAGAUAGAAUCUCGAAACUACACACAGGUAAAUGGCUCACAACUAAGAUCAUAAAAAGUAAUUGCUUAAAUGAAUCCAGCAUUGCCGUAUUCCAGUAGCCUGAGAAGCGGGCAUCUGAAUCAUUUAACUGCUGUAAUAACUAUUUGCAAGUAUUUUUCUGCCAGUAAUAGUUGGCAGCUGAUAAAAAAUGUACCAUAAGAGACCUGUGUCCUUUCACUCUGACCAAGAGAACUAACAGAAGCAAUUUGAACUUAUUUUGAAAUACAUCACAAUAUUUUUUCUUAAGUUAUAGCCAUCUCCUAAUUGAUUUAAAGGUUUUUCUUUCUUAAUGAGCCUGCUAAUCAUUUCAGUGGCCUCAGAAGCCUGUGUUCACAUCAUGAUUUUUUUAGGGCAACCAACACUGUGAACAAGAAACUUUCUGUGAAUUAGUCACUUUAUAGGAAUUAGAGAUUACUUCACAAAUUAAUCUUAAUUAAAUUAUUCUGAAUCCAUCAGACUCUUAAGGGAAAAAAAAAAAAGAAAGAAAAAUAAAA